rnacentral:lncRNA from 1 species
UUUUAUUAUUAAAAAAGCUUUUGCUAAACAAAUCAUAAAAAAGUUUAAAAUGCACACAAUAAAUAAAAUCUCAUGUUGACAGUUCUACACAUUUGUAUUUGGCAAAGCUAAAAUUAAAGCUAUAUAUCACAGUUAAAAUGUAGCAAUAUUUCACCUGAAUUUGGAUGACAAAGGUUAUACGUUUUUAACGAGUGUUUACAUAUUAGUUUAUUUGUCAGCAUCAAUGUUUUUAUAAUUUCCUACGUUUUUUGUAACAACAAAAAAUUCAUUUCUUUCAAAUAUUACACACACCUAUGUAUAGUGUAAAUUCAGAAAUUAUUGAGAGGUUUUUAUUGUGCACAUUAUGAUAUUUGAUACAUAUAUCUGUAUUCAGACUUUUCUGAAAUGGCAAUAACUUAUUUUGCAUUGUAGUCGAUUCUUCCAAAAUCACAAUAAUAAAUGCACACAUCAAUUUCUGAAUUUACAGUAUAUACAUGUAUGUAUAAAUAUGACUUCUAAGCUAACAUAAUUUCACCACAUUUUGGAUUAUUUUACAAAAUUAAAGUUUGCUUAUUAUUAACAAAGCAUAACAAAGACACAUUUAGUUUGCUAAUUAAAUAUGUAUGCAGACAAUUUACUGUCUUCUACAGUGGAGACAUUCAUCAGUAACAAUACAAAAUAUAAAAAACAACACAUACCAGGUAGCAAAAAUAACAAAUGUAGCACUAUAUUAAAUUUUACGAUGUUUUGUAAUGUAAUGAGAAAGUAAUAACAGUUCCAUUAUAGUUACACUAACAAUAUACUUGCACUUCAAUGAUUCCUUUUAAUUUCCAUUAUUGUUUUAAAAAAUACCAUAACAAAACAAAUUAAGAAAGCAUA